CAAACCCAAAAGGUGGGACGGGGCUAUCCCAAGGGCCUCCGCCKAAGGAGGGUUUUUCCCCGCUUUAAGGAGGCGGGGGAAUAAGGAGAGGGCAAGACUGGUGUCAGCCGCCGCGGUAAUACCAGCUCUCCGAGUGGUGGGGAUGUUUAUUGGGCCUAAAGCAUUCGUAGCUUGUUCGGUAAGUCCUCCGUUAAAUCCAGCGAUUUAAUCGUUGGACUGCGGGGGAUACUGCCGGGCUAGGGGGCGGGAGAGGCCGACGGUAUCCUCGGGGUAGGGGUGAAAUCCUAUAAUCCCGGGUAGACCACCAGUGGCGAAGGCUGUCGGCUAGAACGCGCCCGACGGUGAGGGAUGAAAGCUGGGGGAGCGAACCGGAUUAGAUACCCGGGUAGUCCCAGCUGUAAACUAUGCAGGCUAGGUGUUGGAGCGGCUACGAGCCGCUUCGGUGCCGCAGGGAAACUGUUAAGCCUGCCGCCUGGGGAGUACGGCCGCAAGGCUGAAACUUAAAGGAAUUGGCGGGGGA
rnacentral:rRNA from 1 species